ACAUAACGAUACGGGGGCUUGAGGAUUCAGGCUGAGAUUGUAGCUAGUCAACCGCUACCGACCGUUAAUCUGAUCUGGAUAAUGCCAGCGGAGAGAAUCAUGAUUCGACAAAG
rnacentral:ncRNA from 1 species